GACACUGUAUGGUAUGCCAAGCACAAAGAA
rnacentral:piRNA from 1 species